rnacentral:rRNA from 1 species
GAUGAACGCUGGCGGCGUGCCUAAUACAUGCAAGUCGAGCGACCAGACGAGGAGCUUGCUCUUUUGACGUUAGCGGCGGACGGGUGAGUUACAUGUAGAUAACCUCCCUAUAAGACUGGGAUAACUUCGGGACACCGGUGAUAACACCGGCUAAUAUUUCGAACCGCAUGGUUCGAUAGUGAAAUCUCGCUUUGCUAUUACUUAUAGAUGGACCUGCGCCGUAUUAGCUAGUUGGUAAGGUAACGGCUUACCAAGGCAACGAUACGUAGCCGAUCUGAGAGGGUGAUCAGCCACACUGGAACUGAGACACGGUCCAGACUCCUACGGGAGGCAGCAGUAGGGAAUCUUCCGCAAUGGGCGAAAGCCUGACGGAGCAACGCCGCGUGAGUGAUGAAGGUCUUCGGAUCGUAAAACUCUGUUAUUAGGGAAGAACAAACGUGUAAGUAACUGUGCACGUCUUGACGGUACCGAAUCAGAAAGCCACGGCUAACUACGUG